rnacentral:lncRNA from 1 species
UGGCAGAAGCUGGAAUUCAUUGAAAGACCCAGUUUCCCAGCUUCAACGAAAGAUAAACCCAAACUGAAAUUUAUUAGACCCUACAAGGAUUAUUGUCCAUAAAAAAUGAAAAUCUAAAACGUGAUGAAUAAAUUUCUCCAUAAUAAUUAUGCCAUCAAUGCGGAGCCACUGCAAAGUCUCCUAUCAAUCUGAAAAUGUUAAAUAGGAUUAAACAUCUCAAUAAUACUCAGUAGGCUACACAAUUUAUAUGGACAUAAUAAUCAUGCAUGUAAAUAUGUAUUCUUACA